rnacentral:rRNA from 1 species
UGGGGAAUAUUGCACAAUGGGGGAAACCCUGAUGCAGCGACGCCGCGUGAGCGAUGAAGGCUUUCGAGUCGUAAAGCUCUGUCCUAUGGGAAGAUAAUGACGGUACCAUAGAAGAAAGCCCCGGCUAAUUACGUGCCAGCAGCCGCGGUAAUACGUAAGGGGCGAGCGUUGUCCGGAAUUAUUGGGCGUAAAGAGUGCGUAGGCGGCAAAUUAAGUCAGAUGUGAAAACUAAGGGCUCAACCCAUAGAUUGCAUCUGAAACUGAUAUGCUUGAGUCAAGGAGAGGAAAGUGGAAUUCCUAGUGUAGCGGUGGAAUGCGUAGAUAUUAGGAGGAAUACCGGUGGCGAAGGCGACUUUCUGGACUUGAACUGACGCUGAGGUACGAAAGCGUGGGUAGCAAACAGG